rnacentral:rRNA from 1 species
CAGGAUGAACGCUAGCGACAGGCUUAACACAUGCAAGUCGAGGGCGAUCACGGGAGUAGCAAUACAACUGGUGGCGACCGGCGCGACGGGUGAGUAACGCGUAUGCAACCUACCUAUCAGAGGGGAAGUAACCCGGCGAAAGUCGGACUAAUACCGCAUAAAACAGGGGCACCGCAUGGUGAUAUUUGUUAAAGAAAUUCGCUGAUAGAUGGGCAUGCGUUCCAUUAGGUAGUUGGUGAGGUAACGGCUCACCAAGCCGACGAUGGAUAGGGAACGUGAGAGGUUGGUCCCCCACACUGGUACUGAGACACGGACCAGACUCCUACGGGAGGCAGCAGUGAGGAAUAUUGGUCAAUGGGCGGGAGCCUGAACCAGCCAAGUCGCGUGAAGGAAGAAGGAUCUAUGGUUCGUAAACUUCUUUUGCAGGGGAAUAAAGUGCAGGACGUGUCCUGUUUUGUAUGUACCCUGAGAAUAAGGAUCGGCUAACUCCGUGCCAGCAGCCGC